CUCGCUCAUUAUAUACAUUUUGUAAAUUUUGAACACAGAAAAAGUUACAUAGUGUUGCUUUUAACGUACUUGUGCAGAAUAACGCUGACGAAAGUCAUUCUUGUUUCUGCUAUAAUCUUUGAAUUUCAUAUAAACGGAAACAGUCUGUCUGCGGAUUGUAAAUCCAGAUACAUUUCAUCCAGAAUGUCAUAAUUUGAUCAAUGAGGAGUUUCGCAUCAGCUGCUCUGCGCGUCUGGUCCGUCAGUAAAUACUUCCCCCGUCAUCUGGAGUUCCUUUGAUCCCUCAUUAAUCUGCGUAUAAGUAACAUAUAAUAACAAACCAUUUUACUGCGUAUUUAUUCAGAACAUGCCCCCUGAUUCGUAAGACAAUAUCGCGAAUAAAUGAAGAAAUCUAUUUUUGAACGCACGAGCCGGAAGUAAUGUUUGGGGUUAAUAUGUGUAGUUUAUAUUCGUCCGUGUGGAGGGCAGAACUUGUUGCGCUGAGACUUCUGCUGUUUUGUCUGUUUGCUUACACGAAGACUAUACAUUUUCAGCAUGAAACAGUCCAAACUGUCCACUGUAAAGCGCCUUACAAAACCGAUUCUUUUUGGGACACUGCUAGUAGGUUUGGCGACGGCAUUUUUGAAUAGACAUCUGUUCAUGGAGGACCUGUCGGAUCUCAGGGAGCAGGAACGAUCCCGCAAUGAAGCCAAACGACUGGAGGUGCUGGAGAGGAGGAGGAGACAAAUAGAUGAACAUGCAGGGAAGAGUGCAGGGGACAGGUGAGAUGACUGAAUGGACGCCUGCAGGAAAUCAACACUGAAGAAAACAUGGGACAUCUUUGCCUAUAAGGAUUUGUCAAGUGUUAAAAAACUUUUCCUUGAUUGUUCUGUUAUUGCUGUAAUGGGACAGAAGUUGCAUGGAAAGUCCACGAGUGAUGGAGUAAGCAAUGAUUUGAAUUGAUUGCCUUGAUCAUAUUUAGCUGUAACGGCUGGAUUUGCAAGAGGAUUAUACAUUACACAAAUGUAAGAUGCAAAUGGGGGGUAAUUAUUAGUAAGCCAAAUAAAUAUGGAUGUGCCUCAUU